UACGGAGGGUGCAAGCGUUACUCGGAAUCACUGGGCGUAAAGCGCAUGCAGGCGGUUAAAUAAGUUAGAAGUGAAAUCCUACAGCUCAACUGUAGAACUGCUUCUAAAACUGUUUAACUAGAGUCUGGGAGGGGAAGAUGGAAUUAGUAGUGUAGGGGUAAAAUCCGUAGAGAUUACUAGGAAUACCAAAAGCGAAGGCGAUCUUCUGGAACAGUACUGACGCUGAGAUGCGAAAGCGUGGGGAGCAAACAGG
rnacentral:rRNA from 1 species